rnacentral:rRNA from 1 species
UACGGAGGGGACUAGCGUUGUUCGGAAUUACUGGGCGUAAAGCGCACGUAGGCGGAUUUGUAAGUCAGGGGUGAAAUCCCGGGGCUCAACCUCGGAACUGCCUUUGAUACUGCAAAUCUCGAGUCCGGAAGAGGUGAGUGGAAUUCCUAGUGUAGAGGUGAAAUUCGUAGAUAUUAGGAAGAACACCCGUGGCGAAGGCGGUUCUCUGGGACGGUACUGACGCUGAGACGCGAAAGCGUGGGGAGCGAACAGG